ACCAGCUCAGUCAAGUAGAGAUUGAGAUUCUGAAUGUUGGGAUUCUCAAUCUCAGGGUUGUGGGUUCGAGUCCCACAUUAGGCA